rnacentral:rRNA from 1 species
CCCUUAGAUGUCCUGGGCCGCACGCGCGCUACACUGAGUGUCUGAGAUACGAGUCUGCCUGGUCCGGCAAGGUCUAGGUAAUCGCUAAAAGACACAUCAUGCUUGGGAUAGAUUAUUGCAAAUAUUAAUCUUGAACGAGGAAUUCCUAGUAAGCGCAAGUCAACAGCCUGCGUUGAUUACGUCCCUGCCCUUUGUACACACCGCCCGUCGCUACUACUGAUUGGAUGUUUAAGCGAGGUUCUCGAACUGCUAGCGACUUAGCUUCGGUGAGGUCGCAGUGUGGGAAGUGAACCUAGCUUUGGUGUCGAGAGGAAGUAAAAGUCGUAAC